GUCCACACGGUAAACGAUGAAUACUCGCUGUUGGCGAUAUACGGUCAGCGGCCAAGCGAAAGCAUUAAGUAUUCCACCUGGGGAGUACGCCGGCAACGGUGAAACUCAAAGGAAUUGACGGGGGCCCGCACAAGCGGAGGAACAUGUGGUUUAAUUCGAUGAUACGCGAGGAACCUUACCCGGGCUUAAAUUGCGCUGGACAGAUUGGGAGACCAAUCCUUCUUCGGACCAGUGUGAAGGUGCUGCAUGGUUGUCGU
rnacentral:rRNA from 1 species